rnacentral:rRNA from 1 species
UACGUAGGGAGCAAGCGUUGUCCGGAAUCAUUGGGCGUAAAGCGCGCGUAGGCGGCCCUGUAAGUCCGUUGUGAAAGUCAAAGGCUCAACCUUUGAAAGCCGAUGGAUACUGCAGGGCUAGAGUCCGGAAGAGGCGAGUGGAAUUCCUGGUGUAGCGGUGGAAUGCGUAGAUAUUGGGAGGAACACCAGUGGCGAAGGCGGCUCACUGGACCGGAACUGACGCUGAGGCGCGAAAGCGUGGGGAGCAAACAGG